ACACCGGCAGCUCAAGUGGUAGCCGCUUUUAUUGGGCCUAAAGCGUCCGUAGCCGGUCUGAUAAGUCUCUGGUGAAAUCCCACAGCUUCACUGUGGGAAUUGCUGGAGAUACUAUCAUGACUCGAGGUCGGGAGAGGCUGGAGGUACUCCCAGGGUAGGGGUGAAAUCCUGUAAUCCUGGGAGGACCACCUGUGGCGAAGGCGUCCAGCUGGAACGAACCUGACGGUGAGGGACGAAAGCCAGGGGCGCGAACCGGAUUAGAUACCCGGGUAGUCCUGGCCGUAAACGAUGUGGACUUGGUGUUGGGAUGGCUUCGAGCUGCCCCAGUGCCGAAGGGAAGCUGUUAAGUCCACCGCCUGGGAAGUACGGCCGCAAGGCUGAAACUUAAAGGAAUUGGCGGGG
rnacentral:rRNA from 1 species